rnacentral:lncRNA from 1 species
GGGAGAGGAGGGAGUAAUGGCCGGGCUGGAACAUGUGGCUGGUGGGACAGGCGGCGAAGAUGCCGGGAAGGGCGGAGGAGGCGGCGGAUGCGGAAGUGGGGGCGAGGAGGUACAUGAGGACGAAGUUAACGAUGGAUCCCACGACCAGGGUGCAAAAUACGAGGUCGAGCUCGUUGAGGCCGAAGUUGGGGCGCGAGGCCAUGUCGCCGAGGACGCACGAAGUGACGCCGACGAGCUCCUCCAUGAGGACCUUGAAGGGGAACUGGGGAUCGGCAGAAACCCUAGAACGCCACCCCUGGAGGAAGAGGCCAAGGGGGCCGCUAGGAUCGGACGAGGCCGGCUCCCCGCGGUGGCGAUCAUCGUCAGGGGUGCCAUCGCCGCCGCUUCCGCCACGGCCGUUAUCACCGGGGCCAUUGGGUGGGAUCGAGGAUCCGCCACCGGAUAGCACGGCGGAGUCGGGGGAGGUUAGGCUUUGCGAGAGGCUAGGGUUUGCGGAACGGGGAAGGAGGAGCCGGAGGGAGAGGGAAGGGAAAGGGCGGGAAGAGGAAGGGGGCGAGAAGGAAGGGAGGUGAUCGUGAUGGGUUCCUCCAGGGAAGCGGCAGAUCCCGGCACGGUUUGGGAGCGAGGAGAGGCGGAACUGCGGGGCGGCGGUGGCGGUAACCAUGGUGGCGUAGUUCCCAGGCGAGAGAGAGAGAGUGUGAGGGGAUUCUUAAGCAACGACGAACACUGUUCUGGUCCUCGAUCGAUUCGCUGAUUUUAAGAGCACAGAAAACAGAUCGAUGAACGAAUGAAACGAAAAGUGAUGCGACCGAGCGAAUGAAUACAAACGUUUCAUACUCGUACAUGUGAGAGACACUUACUGUUUCCUGUAAGCGAGUAUAUACGGACGGAGAAGCCGCCACUACGCGGACUUUUUGAAGUUCCCCGUCCAAGUCGGACUUCGUUUACCCGAUCUGCCCUUUAGGGCAUCGCAGUGAUGGAUGGUUUUGGUGUGACAUCAUUAGUAAUUAUGUUUCCUCGAAAGGGGUAUUUGGGGGACAAAAUAUGGGAUUUAGAGGAUUCUUUUCUUAUAAGGGUUUUGUUUGAUUUAGAAAUUCUAAUUUCUCUCUUAGAAUGUUAGGAAGAAUCAUUACAAAAUGCAAAAAGCUUGGAAUUAUCAAUCGAAUUUAUCAUAUAGAAAUUGGAAAUUACACUUCCAAAAGGAGCUUUACAUUUCCAUCUUCCAAAGAUUUGAAAUGGAGUAUUUGUCUUUGUAAUUUCAACAUAGCAUACAUGUUCCUCCAAAUAUAAAUACAAAAUACCCUAAAAUACUCAUAAUGUUCUCAUAAUUUUUAAAAAUACACUAAUCUGAAUUAGAAUUUUAACUAUUUGUUCAAUUGACAUAUAUUAUUAUAAGAAUUUACAUGCAACUUUCUUUAAUUUUGCAUGAAUAUAUAAAUGAAUAAAUAUGAAAAUUACUAACUUGGAAUGAUAUCUAUGCUAAUUAUAUAAUUUAUAAAACACCGAAUGUCUGAGAUGAGACAACAAGGGUCUAUUGCGUAGAAAGAAACAGUAUUAACGACACAAUCUUAAGUUCUACAGAAUAACGAAGGAUGAUGAUAUUAGAUUAUGUGGUACUUUAUAAUUAGAUAAGAUGUAUAAUUGAAUUAAUUAAAUUUUGAUGAUCACGAAUAGAAAAGAAAUUCAUAUUAUAAUAAGAAUCAUUGGGAAUGUCACAGAUGAAAAAAACUUUUCUAAUAACUUAUUUUAGACUCUCUACUCUCGUCUAUAAAUAGAUAAAACCUCUAAGGAUUAGACGAUACAUUUCAUAAAGGACACAGUUGAAAGAUUAUAAUUUCUCUCUAACUUUUCUAAACUAUCAAUGGUCAUAUGAAAAGAUAAGAAAAUAAGAGAAGGAGAGUCUAGUUUUACUUACAUUGACAGUAAUUUUUUGAAUUAAAAAUGAUGCCUAAAUCACAUAAAGAUCACUAUAUCAUAAAAAUUGAUAUAAUAUUAUUUGAUUAUAAUUAUGAGAUUUUGAGCCCAUGGCUCUAUCUUCAGUGGAUGAUUGCAGAGUGGGGUGGAUUUUGUCCUACACAAUAAUAAUAAUUACGUCCACUAAUAACAAAUUGGAAUCCCAUAUAUUAAAAUAUAAUUUUAAUUUUUUAAAUAAUAUAUAUAAUAAUAAUAAUAAUAAUAAUAAUUUAAAUUAAUUUAAUCUAAUCAAACCAAAAUUUUAAUUCAAUUCGUCCUAUAUUAUUAAAAAGUUUAUAUCAUAAAUAUCAUUCUAAGCAAUCAACCGCACACCAAUUUGGACCAUCUGCAGUGGGGAAAACCAUCAAACUGCGACGGUUUCGUCACCCAUGGUUUGUGUACCCGCACACAUGUCUUCCUCUUCCAAUGGUCUGAGACGAAGUCCCACAAGGCCGCACAUCCCCAUCUAAUUAAAAGCAGCGACACAAGACAUCAGAAUCAGUGUGCUCUCCGUUGGCCGAUGAAUAACCACCAACUUCUUCAUGCUAUUUAUGCCCCCAAUCUCACCUUUAUCUUCGUCUCAUCGCCUCCAGCUCAAACUCAGAUCUCGACAUGGCUUCCCUUGUUCUCAUCCUGGCGGAGCUCCUGCGGCCGGAAAAGGCCAAGCUGCUCACCGCCGCCGCCAACUGCCCGCCCAGCACUCGCUUUUCUCGUGAUGUCGUUGCUGCUGCUGGUGCUGCCGCCGGGAGAGGAAGGAGCGACAGGUGCAGAAGGACGAGAUCGUCUUCUGAGAUCGACAGCAGCGUCGAUGCGUUCGAGGAGGAUCCCACCGAGGCGAAGGUCUCCGUGGAAUCCAUUUGGUUUUAGACUUCUUGUUCCGAGUGACGGUGGCUGUAAAUGGUGGUUGGUGUCUUUGAUUUUUGAGUGUCGUGUAGCUCUUUGAAUCCAUCGCUCGAUGAACAGCUUGUGGACCUGUAAAAAUUAGAUGGAUGUGUUUAUAUCAUUUUCAAGUCCUUUCAGAUUCUGAAUUCGUGAUGAUUUUGGGCCAUUGUGACGUUCGUGAUGUACUUAUUAUUAUUAUUAUUAUUAUUAUUAUUAUUAUUAUCUAAUAAGAGAGAGCAUCAAAAAUCAAAUCGCCCGUCCAUAUUCCAGCACCAUCCACGUGGCAGCAGUAAGUGAUUAUCCACGUGGCAGUGGUAAGUGAUUCGGGAUGAUCGUCUGUCCUCGUACUAUUAGACGUCGUAUAAGUCGAUGUCACAUAUUGUAGAGUCACUCUAGAAAAUUUGAAACGAUGUCAUACGGUAUGAUUCGUACAAGUCAAUCGACACUUGCACGUAAGGUAUAAGCCAUCCUCAUUUUGAGUUGAUUGUCAUUAAAGGAUCAUGUACGAUCGACCAUCCCUUCGUAAGUAUAAAAGCCAACUCUCUGACUAAUAAAAGGGAAUUUCGUACAUUCAAAUUACUUUUAUUCUAUUCGACUAUAAUUUAAACUUCAGAGAAAUCGAGUCAGGAAGUCCCUCUCCCGAUCUUGAUCUGAGUAGAGGGGCUAGCUACGAAGAAACAGGUGACUGAGACCCACAACUUAACCCGACUCGAUGCUUACUUCCACCACUCGAGUUUCCAUGUGAAUGACUUUAUGUAUUCGAGAUCGGAUCGAAUACAGGUACAUAAAAAUAGCAUCUACUGCAACGGCAUCCUCUCUUUUCUCUAUUACUCAUGUUUUCCCAUCAUCCUUUCUCUCUUCAGUGACCUUUUUCUUGAGAUUAAUCCUGAGGGUGAUUUCAUUGUACAAAUUAAAGAUCAAUUAGAUCAAUUGACCGAGAUAUGUGUCAAUGCAAUUANNNNNNNNNNNNNNNNNNNNAUAUAUAUAUCAUCCCCUCUCAUAUAUAUCAUUUAUCAUCUGCCUAAUUCCAAGAUUUGUUAGGAGAAAAUAAUUCACUUCACAUUUAUGUAGUACAUUAAUAUCAUUAAACUCGAAAUUUCGACAUAUUGAAAAUCUUAUAAAAAUAAAUAAAUAUUAUUUUUUAUAUAAAAAACAUAAAUUAACCCAAGCGAUUCAGUGAGCUAUUAUCGACAUUUUCAUACGGGAUUCCAAUAGGAUACUUAUCGUCUACGUUUAGUACUCGCAGUUCUGCCACGUGUUGGUUCCCCGCCAAUUUCUCUACGUAUCAUACAAAGAAGACACUAAUCAUCUACGUAUAAAUCCCGAUUUCUUGGCGCCAAAAGUACGAAGAAAACGAGGGAGAAGAUAAGCGCGAAAGCAUAAUAGUCAAAGGACGGUUGGUUCCCGCCAAUUUCUCUACGCCUCUACUCCCCCUUCUCCAACUCAUUCCCUCUCCCUCUUCCCAUCCAAACCCCAAACUCUCCCUCCUACCACCAAUAUCCACUCUGUCCUCCUCCUCCCUUCCUCUAUCAUGCGACCGCCUCCUCGUCCCUUGUAGCCGAUCACCUCCUCCUCCUCUUCCUCCUCCUCCUCCUCCGUCAUGGGCAACUGCUUCACCAAGGAGGACGCCGACUCCGCCUCACCCGAUGCCGCCGCUGCUGCCGAUUCAACCUCGGGCUCUGAUCCCAUUGACGCCGCCCCCAUCCAGAACGCUCCCAUCUCCACCGCCACCUGCACCUCGCCGCCCAAGCCGGCCGCCAUCGGCCCCGUGCUCGGCCGCCCGAUGGAGGACGUCGGCGCCACCUACUCCCUCGGCAAGGAGCUGGGGCGAGGCCAGUUCGGCGUCACCCAUCUCUGCACCCACAAGGCCACCGACGAGAAGCUGGCUUGCAAGACCAUCGCCAAGCGGAAGCUCGCCAACAAGGAAGACAUCGAGGACGUGAGGAGGGAGGUCCAGAUCAUGUACCACCUCGCGGGGCAGCCCAACAUCGUCGAGCUGAAGGGGGCCUACGAGGACAAGCAGUCGGUGCACCUCGUGAUGGAGCUGUGCGCCGGCGGGGAGCUCUUCGAUCGGGUCAUCGCGAGGGGCCACUACACGGAGCGGGCGGCGGCGUCGCUGCUGAGGACGAUCGUGGAGAUCGUGCACACGUGCCAUUCCAUGGGGGUGAUGCACAGAGACCUCAAGCCGGAGAAUUUCCUGCUGCUGAACAAGGACGAGGACGCGCCUCUCAAGGCCACCGACUUCGGGCUCUCGGUCUUCUUCAAGCAAGGUUUACUUUCUCCAUCCUCUUCCUCUCUUCCUUCUUGUUCUAGCUACUAUUUCUGUGGUGAUUCAAUGAAACUCUGCUAUGCAUCUGCACGAAACAAGGCAAAUUCUGCUAUAAGAAUAGCUAAACCUUCUAAAUUGCUUUCCAUUUGAAUGGUGUAAUAGCCACCACUAGAAAAGGAAUUGAAGCUAAGCAUAGACAUGAAUCCAUAUGCAACUCCAGCAGCUUUCUGAGAUUCUUCAAAUUCGACUAUGUUUGCAACAUACAGUGUGAUCUACACUAUGUUGUCUUUAAACAGUUAAUGCUCAUCUUCUCCAACACUUUCACCCAUCUAAUCCUCAUGGACUACAAGCAAGCACCGAAACUUUAAUCUUGCCUGCUCCUCUCUGUACACGGAUCUGAAUGUGAUGUUACAAUAUUGAACAGUUCAAUCACUUCUACCGAGUCUUCUGCAUCUUUGUUCAUCACUUCUGUGGCCUCUAAACAGUUUUACUGUCUACAGAUUAUCAUGAAAUUUAUUUGCCAUUGACAUACUGCUAUCUUUUCCGGAUUUUUUUUGUUUAACCUUAAUUUAAUGCUGUAAAUUUCACUAAACCUGUAGCAAUUAGCAUAGGGAAUGAUGUUAUCACCUACUGCCAUAGCAUGUCAAUUCAAGUUCAUAGAGCAUGUGUUCUCUUACCAUGAUUUCUCCCAUAGAAAGGAAGAUAACAUAAAAGACCUCUUCCCUGAUCUGCAGUAAACGCCUUCUCCAGACUGAUAUCAUAUUACCUUUUACAGAUAAAGCCUACAAAAUAUUUAGGUGGCCUUUACUCCAACUGAACAAAUAAUAGUCCAGCAAAUGAAGCAUUUUUAUAUCAAAACGAGUUUGAUAUUAUUAAUGCAUUAAGAAAUUCUGUACGUUUGCAUUUUUGGGAGGAAUUGUCUUUAGUGUUUUGCUUAUGCAGCAUUUAAUCUUAUCUGGUUCGCAUGUCAUCUAUAGCUAACAACUUAAUUAAAAUCUGUCCAAAACAGGUGAGGUAUUUAGAGACAUAGUUGGCAGUGCAUUUUACAUAGCACCUGAAGUCCUCAAGCGAGCAUAUGGGCCAGAAGCUGAUAUUUGGAGUAUAGGGGUGAUGCUCUACAUUUUCCUCUGUGGAGUUCCUCCAUUUUGGGCUGGUAAUUUUCUUUUAUGCAACUUUUUACGGUUUAUACUCCCUAAAUUGUGAGAAUGAAGGGUAAAACUAAUAUUAAUUCCAACAGAAUCUGAACAAGGGAUCUUCAAUGCAAUUCUACAAGGACAGAUCGACUUCACAAGUGAUCCAUGGCCUAACAUUUCACCUGGUGCCAAGGAUCUUGUCAGAAAGAUGCUGAAGUUAGAUCCCAGACAGAGGCUAACAGCAUUCGAAGUUCUCAGUAAGAUUUAUUUUCAUCUCAAUGGCAUAUUUUGUAGCUUACCAGCAUCAAUACCUUAUUUUUUGCUCGACGAGGACUUGAUCUAGGUCAACUUUGAUGCUGUGCCCUAAUUAAGCAUACUUCAUUUGUGAAUCAAUCUGAAAGAGUAGGUUUCAUUUAUUUUCGUAUGCAUAGCAGAACAUUUCUCAGAGUUUUCUGCUUUUCAUGAUAGGAUUUCUAGGCUUCAUUUGUCAUAGUAAUAGGCACUGAUGCAUGUUUUAGACUUUUAGUUAUGUUUCUUCCUAGCUUUGCUGGUGCAGAUUGUAAUGGUACUGUUUGCAAUUGCAUUGCAUAAAUCAAAUUUUGAUUAUUGUAAAAAAGACUAAUUAGUUAGCUGCAAAUCUUGGAGUAAAAAAAUUUAUCCAAAGAGAAAAAAAAUGUAUCCAUAUUUCAAUCAGACAUAUUCUGAUCACUAGGCAAAGGCCAAAUUGGUAGUCAACAUAGUAUUUGCUUGUUCUUGACAAAAUCAAGGCACACUUAAUGUCAAAGACAGAGAACAUUCAUUUCUUAUUAUUCUUUUCUAUUCCUUUUGAGGGGUGGACAAAAGGCCAUAUAAGUUAUAUCCAGAGUCUCAUACCACAAGUAUAGUCUCUUGCUAUGUUUUUGAAUACACAGCUUCUUUCCCUGGAUAUCUUGAUGAUAAUAAAUACUGCAGAUAGUUCUCAUCUAAUUAUGACUUACAAUUCAGACCAUCCAUGGAUCAAAGAAGAUGGAGAAGCACCUGAUACGCCACUUGACAAUGCUGUUCUCAACAGACUGAAACAGUUCAGAGCAAUGAACCAGUUUAAGAAAGCUGCUUUAAGGGUAAACUUCUUGCUUUCCUGUUGAAAUAUUGCAUCAACUCAAGGUCCACAGAAUUUGCUAUAUGAUUGACUAGUAUUGCUUAGUGACACAAUUCAAGGAUCACUAGUGGAGAUGGAAUCAUACCACACCUCACCUUUUUCUUUUAGAAAUUAGAACCACAGGUAAUUCAUUGACCUGGAUGUGAUACUAAUUAACUUCGUGGUCUGGAUUCAAGUUUAACAACAAAACAUAGUAAUUAGCCGGAUAUCGCACAAGAUUUUCUUUUAUUUUGAGCAUGAAAGCUUAAAAAGAAAUCAUCUUUUCAUUCUAAAAGAAAAUCUUUUUCAAGGAAAAACAAUUAGAAAGCUGUUGGGUCACUUUUUGGAAGAAGAAAGGCAUUCAUCAGUCACAAGGGUCUAGUUGUGAUCUUUUAAUGCAUUUUUAUUACUAAAUUUAAAUAUCUGCAGGUAAUAGCAGGAUGCUUAUCAGAGGAGGAGAUCAGAGGCCUGAAGGAAAUGUUCAAGAAUAUGGAUUCUGACAAUAGUGGAACCAUAACUCUUGAAGAACUGAAACAAGGUCUUGCUAAGCAAGGAACAAAGCUAUCGGAGCAUGAAGUCAAACAGCUAAUGGAAGCUGUAUGUUCUAUAUGCAUUCAAAUCUUUCUAGAUAAUUCAAUCAAUGUAGAAGGAAAGAACCUAACUGUUGCACUAACUCUUUGGUUCUAUAACAAUAUAAUAACUUCUUAACACAGGCUGACGCAGAUGGGAAUGGAACUAUCGAUUAUGAGGAGUUCAUUACAGCAACGGUGCACAUGAACAGAAUGGAUAGAGAAGAGCAUCUAUAUACAGCAUUCCAGUACUUUGAUAAGGACAACAGUGGGUAAGUUUUGACCACACUGAGAAUUCCAUACAACUUAUCACCAUGACAUGAGCAUUUCUAAUGUUGGAUGAUAGAUCAAACAAUUCAAUGACCUUAUCAAUUUCUGAUUAGUUUUCUUUAUUCUUCUUUAGAUAUAUUACAAUGGAAGAACUUGAGCAAGCUCUGAAAGAGAAGGGGCUAUACGAUGAAAAGGAAAUCAAGGACAUAAUAUCUGAAGCCGAUGUGGAUAAUGUAAGUAGAAAGAGACCAUGCAACAGCAUGAAUCAGCAUAUUACUAGAUAAUUAAUGUAGAGCUCAGAGGCCUAGCCAAUUUGUAUAUGAAUAGCUGUUUGAAGAAACAAAACUAACACGAUCUUUUUUCCUGCUCUCUUGCAAUAUACAGGAUGGAAGGAUAAAUUAUGAUGAGUUUGCGGCCAUGAUGAGAAAAGGGAACCCGGAGCCAAAUCCAAAGAAGAGAAGAGAUGUGGUUCUUUAACCAUAUACAGAGAAGAGGAAUGAGAGGAACAGUGUUGUAUCCAAUAUUUUGGCAUGCUGGAGAAAUCAUUCAUAAGAUUGUAAGCUAAUCAAGAGAGGACAAAAGAACCUGAACAGCUUCAUAGUGAAUUCUAUUCAUAAUCUUCAUGUACAAAAUCUUGCUUGUGGGGAUCGAGUUAGGUGGAGAAAAUCUCAAACAUCUUGAUGGCUUUUGAAGGUGUCAGCUUUUCUGAAGUCCAUGAUAGAAAUAAGCAAUCUUAUGUGAGCUAAUCCCUACAAUAGAUUAAUUGAUUUAGAGAAUUUGCAAAGUGAAUAGUGUGUAAACCUCCAGCAGCUGCAAUCUCAUGAAUGCAUUUUUUUUUGAACAAGCUGAAGGUGUUGUUAACCUGAAUAAAAUCCUUCCUCAUUGGCAGAGUAUGGUGGAAAAUAAUCUAUUGAGAACCUCACUGUUCAAAUGAUAUGGGAUAACAAAAAAAAGGGUGUGUCCAAUGUACAACGCUCCUGUCGAUGCGGAGUCUGGGGAGGGUCAAUGUACAUAGCUUUUUUUUAAGAGACAUUAAAUAUUUAAAGAGGAAAAAGUGAUAUGGGAUGUGAAAUAUAAAUAACAUUGACAGCAGAAAUGGUGGAACAUGAAGUUUAGCUUCCUUUUGCAGUGGAUAUAUGAAAUAGUUUUGCACUCCAUGCCGAAAUGAUGACAACUAUAUUUGGCAUCCUUAAUUCUGUAGUAAUACUUAUCAAACUGUGGAUUGAGAGUGAGAAAUAAUCUCAACACAGUUUUUGAGUUAAAGGAGGCUCCUGCCGAACAAUUCUUGAAGUAGAAGCUGGUAAAGUUGUAGAGGUGUGAUGAAUUAAGAUCAGUUGAUUAGGUAGGCUUUCCAGAAAAUGAUAUAUUAUGCGCAUAUCGGUGAUAUUUAUAGAAAUAUUUGUCAUAAGCUUAUUCUGCUAUGGAGCAUCAGCACUAACUAUGUGGAUGAUGACAUGAAAGCUGCAUGGUUUAAACCAGUUCACUGUCUUCAAUCUAACAUAUGCAUCACAACCAUCAUUUUUGGAUACGCAAGAAGAUCUCGAAAGAACUACCGAAGAAACAAGGAAUACAUGGAUCCCAGGAAGAUCAAAUACAUGAUUGCUGGCUUAUUUAUUUUCUGGCUACCUUGGCUCAUCUUGAUCUUGAUCACUGACGAAAAAAAUAGUUGCGGAGCAGAUUUAAUGGUUGCUAUAUUUGUUUACGCAAAGAGUACUGCCCCAUAGUGUUAAUUCAGCAUAAAUGAACAAUUGAGAUUGAAAACAAGCUCAGCACACCUCUUGGCCUCUCUUCCACCAAUUUGCUUUGCAUGUUUAACUGAAGUCUUCUUACAAGCUAUAAAUAGAGGGGGCGAAAUGGAGGGCAGAGAAAAGAAAAGGAAAACAAUGAGUGAGAAGAAACAUGGACAUCCUCAAAAGUAGGUGAAUUGAAGGUUGAAACAUUCCUCCAUAGGCUUUAGAAAGAUCAUGGAACAAAGUGGUGGUCAUGGUUUUGUCAAAAGCAAUCCUUCUUGGCAUGCAAAGGCUUCUUCUAUAAAUCCAUGUGUUCGGGUUGACAGAGAAGUUCUCCAAGCAUUUCCCAUCCUCCCUUUCUAGGGAAGAAUCAUGGCGAAGCGCUUGGAGGUACAUGAUUUAGCAAGCAUAAAAAAGAAAAAAAGAAAAAGAUUUUCCCUUUGCUUCUUUGAUGUUUGAAACGAUUUGAUAAUUAGUCUUCGAAUUUUUUAGCACGAAGAUCAUACCUUUUUUGUUUUGUUUUUGAUAAUUAGUUCUUUAAUUCUCCUUUGUUAAUAUCUGAAGUCAGUAGAUAUAGAUAAUCGAGCGUUACCACCUGAUGAGUUUCAUCUGGUGUAACAAUACAUCAUGAAAAUUUUACCUUCUUAUUCUUACUCUUUAAAGCUUGUUUUUGUUUCCCUGUACUGUUAUCCUCAGUUGGAGAUGGUUGACUUAGCCUUGCUUUGUCACUUUCUUACUAUAAUUUUUUGGAGGAUCAAGCUUUUUUCGCUUGUAUUAACAAUUCUCUUCUCAAAAUAGCCCAGCUGUUCUUCUAGGCAAAUUUGAAACAUGUGCUUGUUCACUGGAUAUCAGAGCAAGAUAUGAAAUAGAAUUUUUCUUUCCUUUUUUUUCAUUUUGGAAUCUGUUUAAUUUUGAGCUAGUGCCAAAAACGUUUGAAACUUCAGAUGCAUGUGAAUUUAUUUCUUUUUCUUUGUUUUCUUCUAUCAGACUAAGAACUACAGGUGGAUAUGUAAUGCACCUAGAGAGAGAAUGAGAACUCUUCCAUUUCUUUCAGUCAUUUAGAUUUGGCACCACUGUCCCUUAUUUCUUUAAGCUUUGCUUAAGGAGUUGGCCAUGUUAAGCUGCUUCUUUUUUCUCUGUUGCAAGUUUAUCUGAUGUCUAUUACUGGAGAUACUGCCUCAAUGUUGUGAUCCAUAGAAACUCUGCAUGACAUGUCAAGAUGCUUUUCUGCAAUCCUACUAUUAGACAUUGAAUGCUUGAAGCAUUUGUGUUCCUUUGCCUCUAUGUUCAUCCGUUUACCGGUUGAAUUGUCUCCUUUCAGAACAAGGAAUGGAGGUCUGUUCCUCAAUUUGGAGGGUGGGAUCAAAAGACAGCUACACCCGACUACUCCAUGGUCUUCUCGAAAGCUCGCGCAAACAAAAAACACAAUAAGGCUGAGUUCAGGCCCUCAACCAGCCUCGGAACUGAAGAGGAGUUCAUGGUUUACCAACGCUAUAAAAGCAAUGAGUCCACCAAGGUAAGAAAUGGUUCUUCCUUGCUGCAUUUCAUUUUCUUUCACUAUUUGAUCCAAAUUUCAGUUUGCGGAUGAUAUGGUUUAUUCGCUUGUUGGUUCUUCUAUACAUUAAUCUACGACAACUACAUGUAGACCUUACGACGAAAAACUUAAUCCACUCAUAAUUCGAUAGACUGAAAGCUCACAUGCUCUUCUACUAGUGUUCAUUGAAUUAGAUCUUAAAUAGUUCAUAGACUACUCGAAUCUGAUCUUAAUAGUGAUACAUGUAAUAGACAGAGGUGAACCUUUUUUUCAGUCCUAACCAAGAAAACUUACCAGAUCUGCAGCAAUGCAGGAUAUAUGGUAAUAACACAAUGUUUACAGUACAUCCAAUGGACUUCUUUCCAUCUAUGAUUAUAUGUGAGAAUGAUAGAUAUCUAUUACCAUAAGACAUUUAGGAUCUUGCUAUAGAGGUGGUAAGGCAAAACCUAAUACAUCCUUUAUUGAACUCUUCAACAUUUUGCAUUUUAUAUGUUUCAAGAAUCACAACAUUGAGGCAGUAUACAUGCAAUUGCAUUUUUAUUGUAUCAUGUAUGUUCACCUGAAGUGGCUUCUAUAAUUGACUUUUAAUUGAGUUCAAUCUCUUCCAGCAUUACAUUUUGCAUGUUUCAAGGAUCACAACAUUGAGGCAGUGUGUAUGUACAAUUAUCUCAAGUGUUUUUGCAGGAUCACUACGUUGUAUACUUAGGCAAGGAAACAGUUUACGCAUGCUGCAGAGCUUUCAAAUAUAUACAUGUUGAGCAUAUGCUGGUUCAUUUUAUAAUUGAUGUGCUUUUCGGGUUAUGAAAUCAAUUCACAUCUUGAAAUUAUAAUUCUUGGAGAUAAUGGUACAAUUUUCAAUCUGGCGGCAUCUCUGAACAUCUCUUAGGUAUCGAAACUUCAAAAGUUUGCUUCAGUCUAAAGGUUUUCUAAUGCAAUCUUCAGGGCAUUCCAGUGAACCAUAUUGGGGUUUUGCAUGUACCAUUGUGAGGUCAGACACUCAUGUCUAUGUGCAACAAGCAUCCCUCUCAUCUUUAAGCUACAGGGUUCAAUCUAUUUCUUCUUGCUCUAAGGCAAUUAAACUUGAUUUAUAUUUAGGCAUCUAAUAGGAUCAUAAGGUUCCGACAUAAGCUCACACAUCAAUGAAUAGUGUAGAGUUAUCUCCAUAGGUAUCCUGCAUCAAUGAACCAAAGUUGAUGUUGAAGUAAUUGCACAAGUAGGAUCUUUAAUUAUCACACGCAGGCUCAAUGCAACACACUUAUCUACAAUCGAUAAAUGGUGGUGCACAUAAUCACUCCUCCUGAAACAAUAAACUAAGAUCAUCAUCUUGUCAUAUGACAUUGGUUAAGAACCUGGUUUCGGAAAGAGUUUAACUGCUCUGAAGGUAAUGUGUUCCAAUUAAUUAACAAGAAAACAUCCUAUUCAGUACAAAUAUCUUCAUCUACCUCAGUAUUUGAAAAGUCUAUCAAGAACCAAUGAUGAAUCAUAAGACUAAAUAUAUUCAGAGCAAGGUAGGGUAUUUUAAGUGGAAAUAUAGGACAUAGAGAAUAAGUAUCAAAUUAUCUUAGACUGAUAGGUUUUAUUUUCUUUUACAUUGUAUUGUAAAUAUCCAUUUAGAACCCAUUUAUCAUGUUGUGGUAAGUAUGAGUCUAGAAGUGUCGGGGGAUGAUUGGUUCAAAAUCACUCGUAAUUAACUUCUCAGGGAGCAUCCACAGAAGACUUGGCUUCCCAAUAGGUUGAACACUCAGAUCUACUAUAAGUAGAUAUUUUCUCCUAAUUUCUUUUAAUCUGGGCCUUUUUUCUUCUAUCUUAAAAUGCAACCAAAACGUUCUCUCCUUUUAUGUUGUACCAUUCCCGUGACACAAGAUUGAUACGUAGCAUCAGAACAUCGAUACAUCACCUCUUUUUAGAUGUCUUUCCUUUCGGUUUUGGUUAAUUUUUUAAGUCUGAGGAAUAUUAGAGUCAGAUGCUUCUCUAACCUGCACUGUUCAGAUCUUACCUUAACAGGGAAAACACUUUCAAGGUAGGUGGCAUCUCUAGCUUUGAUUAUAGCACUACUACAUGAGAUUUUACUUCCCUCAGGACAAUCAACUAGAAAAUUUUGUUUUUAUUGUUGUUUUAGGAAUUGCCUAUAAGGAAAAUUUUAGAAUUAAUAUUCAGAUGUAGCUCAUGAAAACAAACACAAUUUUUGUUUAUGAUGGAAUCACCUCAUUUGAUGUGUUCUCCUUGCAUAAAUCAAUACAAGUACCUUAAUCCUCUUCGGAAACCAGUUUGUGUUAUGGCCUUGUCAAAAAAUCUAUUAAGGGUUUCAUCUUUGGACUCGGAUGCCAUCAUUUUGAGUAUUCAUAUAUGAGGCUCAAUUAUCUGUUUCAGCUGAGUAGCAUUGCCAUCUGAAUCAUAGAUGUCACUUUGGUUCAGCUCUAGAAAACCGGAAUCUUGGACUAAAUUUGGAAGUCUUUCUUAGACUUGAUGUAGAACUAAAAUCUUCUAGUUAAGAUCUAGAAGUGGUGUUAGAAAUCAGAUUCUACAGCAUUCAUGCUUUAGUGCAAGGGAAAAAUCAACUUUCUCGAAGAGUUUCAAGACCAAACCUCACCUAAUGAACAGAUAACCCCUCAGUGAUUAGAGUCUCUUUGUAUUCAUGCUGUAAAAGAACAUAACCAGUAAUGAUAACUCCAUGGAGGCACUGCACAUAAGAAAGUGAGAAGUAUUUUUUCUUCAGGUGUUGAAUUCGGAUCCAGACAUCCUGUUUCCAGGGUUAGAAUGCGGUCUCAACAAUUGCUGUCACAUUUCUUCCUUCUGAUUUUUAAUGUGCUGAAAUCUAACUACAGAUCUACAAAGUGCAAGAUAAAAAUAAUCAACAUUCUAUCGAGCAUAGUAGCACCAAGGUUCAUUACAUUCUCUUUAAUCUCUUCUUUAUCUGUGCCACUCUUACACUCAUCGAGCCAUGGCAUGAGAUGAACAUUAAAUACAAAUAUAGAUCCCGAUAAGCUCAUUGGAUCAGUAAAAACCAGUCGGUGUGUAUAUGUUCGACUGGUAUUUUGAACCGUGCCAAAAAUUUUACUAGGAAAUUUGUUCUACAAUUAUGGUAGUUUGAUAUAGGGGAUAUUGAAAUCAAAACUGGUUGUUCAUUAACCUUUAACAUCUAUGUGCAGAAAGGGAAGAAGUCUCUGCGAUAUCUCAGCUGCUUCAUGGCCUGACUCUGAAAAUGAGAUGGUGUCAUCAGUUUUCAGCAGCUUGCAGACUGUGUAUGCCGAAGAUCGGGGGGAGACUGAUUACACCAAAAAUCUCAUCAUCCCUGUUAAAAGAAGUGUCAUGUGUGUUCUCCAGGAUUUCAUCUGUCUUGUAUGCUCACCAUGUUUCUCUACAUUAUAUCGAGCAAGGCUGGCCGGUAUAUAUAUCCAUUAAAAAUGCUGAUUGCUAGAAAGAUGUGUGUGUUGUUGCAAUUCAUUUAGAAAAAAAUUAUCAUGGUUGUUUUUCUACCUUUAUUAUUAUGUAUCUCCAGAAGAAGUUAAUAUCUUCAUAUCAAUCAAUGCAGUAGUAUCAAGCAACCUAAUGACUGGAAACAUGAGCAAUAUGAUGCUACAUUUCAGAAGCACCUUGCCCUGUAAAGUUCACUUCAUCAAGUGUUCUGCACAAGACUCCAACUUGCAAAUUGGUAAAACAACUACUAGAAUUGGGAAUCAGUACAGUGAUCUUUCGAUCUUUGCAUGCAUUUGAGUACAAUGUUCACGAUGCAGGUGUGUCAGCAAAGAAACUUGGUCAUCCAAGACAUAAGUUGACCGUAAAGAAUCUGUAACAGAGAAGUGGAGGCAGGUAAGACGAAGCUGAUAGAUUUGGUGUUGACCUGUGACUUUGCUACUGAUGAAGCAGAGAUACGAACGAGGAGCAUUCGACGCUCACGAUAAAUAAGAUUUCUUUGCUUCGUCUUCUCUCUCCCUCUACGUCAUGCCUUCGGUCAGCCAAUAACCCCUCGCUAAAACCGGAUGUAGAUUUCUCCUCUCUGUUCCGGAGAACAGCAGCACGUCGCCCCACCAUGAAGACGGUCCCGGUAGCCAUCGGCCGCGGGAGAAAGGUCGUGCGGAUCCACUGCACCGACGCGGACGCCACCGGUUCCUCCGGCGACGAGAACGAGGCUGCCAUGCGCCGGGUCAAGAGGCACGUCCAGGAGAUCGGGUUUGAGGUGGCGGCGGCGAAGGCGCAGGUUGACAGGCGGCCGCUCGCGGCGGUUUCGGGCUCCUGCUGUGGGAAGCGGUUCCGAGGCGUCCGGCGGCGACCUUGGGGCCGAUGGGCGGCGGAGAUACGCGCCCCAUCGCGGAGGAAGCGGGUGUGGCUGGGGACCUUCGACACCGCGGAGGAAGCUGCCGCCGCGUACGACGCUGCUGCAAUCAGGCUCAGGGGAGACAACGCCGAGACCAUCUUCCCCGCCGGAACGGCGGCGGCGGCCGGAAACAGGGACUUAUCCUCCGUUGGGGAUGCUGCCGCCUCCGACAACCCGUUCUCCUCCCCGUCGUCGGUCCUCUGUAACGGCAUGGACAAGACGCCGUUCGACGUCCUGGGCCACGGCGACGUCGACGCUUUCGGGCUCAGCGUCGAUCCACCGUUACACACAAGGGAGUUGUACCCACCGAAGUGGCCGUGUGGGGACACAGGCGACGAGUUCGCGGAGUUCGCCGCGGAAGAUUUCCUGCUACCGGCAGCACCUUCGAGUCUCUCGAAUGCCGAUACUGCCCUUGCCUUGUCACAGUCGAAACGAGAACAUAUGGCAAGAGUGAACGGUAAGUCGUGCUACGUACGUGUAAGCCGUGUAUUGUCGCCAAAAGUCGUGCUACGUACGUGUAAGCCGCCAUAUUGCGGCAUGCGUGGCACCAUUUGAGCCGUCGAUCGGGGUGGCGGGAGGGCCCAGCUGUGGCCCGCGGCGUGAAUCCUCCGGCUCCCUCGAUCGGGAGAUACGUGGCACCAUCUCUAGAUUCCCAUCUAUGUAGAAUUUUUGCUCCCUAAUGGAUCGGAUUCGCUGGGCCCGCACCAAAAUCCGAGAUAACUAGCUGAAACAACCCGCGUCCAAGAAGGGUACAACGUCGGGUUCGGAUCAAUCAUGCGGGCAUCGUCAAUGUGCGGCCCGGUUUGCUUUGGGUCGGCAUCUGCUUAUAAAAGCAGAAGAAGGAAGACUGCCGUUUGACCUGCUCGGUCGACCAAGGUUCCUCCUUCUCAGGCCUCAAACUUGAAUCACCAUCAUUUUCCUCAGAUCCAUUUGCAGAGUCAUCGUACCCCAGAUCGUUGCACUUCGGAUCGGGAUACUGCCGCCGAGAGCGAUAGUUCGCAUCAUCGCCACCACCAGGUACGAAGUUGAGAUCUUUGUAGGUUCAUUCCCCUGCCCUCGAUUCUUGCUGGAUCCGUCGGCAAAUUGAGAUAGAUCUUGCCUUCUCAUUCAUUUUUCCACUUAAUUUUCCCGUGUGAAACUGUUGCAUCUAUUCCUGGUCUUAAUCGUUCGUUUUUGUGGCAGAUCGGCCUGCAUACACGAAUGGGAAAGUUUUAAGGCAAAAUUAUCGCUUUGUCAUAGCAUUAUAUAUGGUUUUUCCGUUGAUAAGUUAACAUUUGGUGUGACCCCCAUAGACUCGCGAGAAAUUAUCUGUUUUGACGGUGGACGUACGGUUUUGCCCUUUCGGAGCUUAUGAGCUCCAAAAGGUGCUUUGGGCCACCCACACGGUACACACAGCACUCAAGUGUAGGACUGCACCAUUGACUUACAUAUUGGCACUCUUCCCCUAUAAGAGUGAGCACUGAUAAGGAUAUUUAAUCCCAUAUUGGUUGAGGAGUAAGGGAACCAAGGGCUCAUAAGGCCGUCGAGUCAUCCUUAUCCUCAGAGGCAUCGAGCUCACAAGCUUUGAAAGGGUAAAACCAUACAGGUAUGCCCACCGCCCAAAGCGGACAAUUCCUCACGCCCCUAUAGGAUCGUACCAAUGACAAAUCGAUCAAAUGUUAACUUAUCAAAUUGGUACUAGAAGGAGGGCAUUGGGCUCUUGGCUCCCCUACGGGAGGGAGCACUGAUAAGGACAUUUAAUCUCACAUUCAUUGAGGAGUAGGGGAAUCAAGAGCUCAUAAGUCCGUCGGAUAAUCCUUACCCUCAAAUGCUCCUUUUGAAGCUCACAAGCUUCGAAAGGGCAAAAUCGUAUGGGUACGCCCAUCGCCCAAAGCGGAUAAUUCCUUACGCACCUAUGGAGUCGCAACAAUAGCGGACCAACCAAAUAUUGACUUAUUAGAUUGACGCUAGAAGGAGAGCCUGGGCCCUUAACUCCUCUAUAGGAGGAAAUACUAAUAAAGAUAUUUAGUCCCAUAUUGGUUGAUGAGUAGAGGAACCAAGGGCUCAUAAGUCCAUCGAAUCACCCUUACCCUCAGAGGUGCUUUUUGGAGCUCACGAGCUUCGAAAGGGCAAAAUCGUGCAGGUACGACCACCGCCCAAAGCGGACAAUUCCUCACGUGCCAACGCGGUUGCACCAAUGGUAGACCGACCAAAUGUUGACUUAUCACCCGUGAUAGAAAUGUAAGCUAUGGAAUACGAUUCAUUAUGACAAGCAAUAAGUGGGCGGUUAGAUUAAGAUAUCAUUAUUUUGGGAAAUGGGUGGUUCAUGUGGAGGAAAAUAAAUGAAACAAGAGGUAAAGAACGAAGAUUCAACGUUUUUGAGACAAAAUGAAGGUGUUGAAAUUGUUCUCACUCAUAGUGAGCCCUGAUCAUGGAUUUGAUCCAUAUUGGGUUUCCUUGUUCCAAGUGCCACUCAGGUACAUCAGGAUCCUAUCUAGGGGUGGCAGAUUGUCAUGAAGGCUGAAUGACAAUGGGCGCACGAGACACCUAGCAAGGGUUCAAACCCUUGACUUGCGAGAAGGGGAUCCAAGUACAUGCCCAUCAGGCUUGCUGGUCGGGUGUGAUUUGACCCAUAUCGUUGAGGCUUGAAGGAUUGCUAGUGAAGUACAUUGUAAAUGGAAAAGGAUAAAAUGGGAAGGAACAUAGCUAUUUGCAAUUUCCAAAAAGGUUUGGUAUAGAAGUACUGAAAUUCACAAUUGAACAGAUGGAAGCAAUGUGUUGGAAUAUAGAAGUUGGGGAUAUUUGAAUAUCUGUAGAAGUUAGAGGUGGGUAGGGUAGUGGGUCAUAAUGGUCAGAAGUCCAACAUUUUUCCCUUUUGUAGUAGGUAAGUGUCAAAAAUCAUUAUUUUUAUAAACUAUUCAAGAGUGAACAUUGACUGUAUGAGAUAUAAUGCAAAAGUUUCUUGACAAUAUAUGCAAACAAGAAGAUAUUGGAAAGAAUCGUAUCAAAAUACUCUGCAAUAAUUCAAUUCUUGACUAGGUAAUCUUAAAUGAUACAUUUGGCAAUAAAGCUUGCAUGUCCUAGUUACAUGAAUGUUGAACUUAAUCUCAAGCUAUAAUGAGAAGUGGGACAACCUUAUAUGCUGACACAAGUGGUUUUCCACAAGUACUCAUUUAGUAUACAUAUACUUUCAAAAGCUUUGCAUGAGUAUUGCUCAAACUGAAGUAUACAUAACAGUCAACCCUAUCCGUUUUCAGUGUUGUACUCUUGGUAACAUGGCCAUGGUCUCUCUAAAUUGGUUUCUUAUGCAAUAGGCUUUGGCCAUUAUAAAAAAAAUUGCACGUUUGGGUUCUGCCAUAUACUGCAUUAUAUGGUUUGAUUUCUUGGACAUCAACAGAAUUGUGCUACAACCUAACCAAGGUUGAUUUCAUUUGAAUAUUAGUACUCUCUAUUUUGCUUCUCAUGGUUAUUAACUGCAGUAUCCUCAUAGUGUGCAAUUUGUUUCUUUACCCGUAAUUUUGGGCAUGCUUUACUUUUAAUUGGAAUUUCUUUUCUCAGUAUCUGAUUGUUUGCAUCAGUUCAUGAACUUUAACUUUUACUGAUGUGUUCUUUCUUCUGUUUUUGUUUUCCCAGAAGCAGCUGGUGGUCUGAUUAUUUGGACUCAACUUCUAACCAGAAUGGGAAAUUGUUCAGGAAAAGUGAGAAAUUAUCCAUAGAUGACAUCAGAACCCAUGAUGAGUGCUAUGAAUUUGUAGUUUUAAGCAUUUUGUAUUGUGGAUGUUUCUUGGAUCACAUGCUUUUGGUUGUUAUCCACUGUUUUUAUAAUCAAUCUCGAUAUCCUUUUUUAAUUCACUAUUUACUUGUGCUUUUCAGAUAUGUUUUUCUCAUAGUUCAGAAGUCAAUGCAUGUGAAUGAAUUUAACUGUGCAUUGUAUGUGUUGUAGAAGGAAAUUCUGAAUUUAGUAAAAGAUUAUUGUGGUUUAUGGAGUAUGUAUAUGAGUUAGCAAUGGUUCUCUGAGUAGUAAUGUUGCAGCGAUAAAGCCUGUGACUUUUAGCUUCAUCAAACAUAUUAUUAUGCACUAACAUGAUUUCUUCUCCAGUCGCAUUUUUCAUCUGUCUCAUUGCAAGAGCCUGCAAGUUCAUGCUUUAUCCGUUGACUGCUAGAGGAAUUUUCAUCAUUGUAUAAAAUGUUAUCUUCACCUAUCGUGCAUAUAUCUGAUGAUUUUCUGGACCUGAACGUCUGAUGUUGCAUAUUUUUUACCAUGUUCCUCUGGAAAUUACCUUACUCAUGUUACAUAUAUAGAUGUUAGUCUCAGGAGUUGGUGAAUAUUCAGUAAUCUUUUCUAUUUUUUUCCUUUUAUUUUAGAAAGGUGGAGGGGGUGAUCUUGAAGAUGAGAUAAACUUCAGAGGUGGAAAUGUGCAUGUAAUAACUUCAAAGGAAGGCUGGGACCAAAAAGUUUCGGAAGCAAACAAGGAUGGGAAGAUAGUAAGCAACUUGAAAAGUUCCACUUAUUUAUGUACAUUUAUCACAUUAACAAAUAUGAUCAUAGAGUCCUCUUACACAAGCAGUCAACACCAAAUAUUAAAUGAUCUCCUAGUGCUUGCAUUUGCACAUACAAGCAGUCAAUGUAAGUUUGCAGUUUUAUGACUGAAAUUCAUAUCCUGUUCUAUGUUAUGAAUUUGGUUGAAAUUGCACAACCAAUUGAAGAAAGGAACUCAUUAGGGGAUGCAUUUCUUAGAGGUUGCUUUUUCAGUCUUUUCUUUCAGAAGGUCAAAAGAUUCCACAACUAUUCUCUUUUCUCCCAAAGGCGGCAGGUGAUAAUGGAAAGAAGCCUAUGCUGCCUGGUCAAAUAUUAUAAAUUGAUUUUUUUAAUAUCAGAAUUAGAUAGUUCAUGUGAAGACAUCUUGCAUAUGUUAAGUUUCAUAUUAUUUGCAUUCAAGAAGUAUUGGUUAAAUGUACAUGAGCACUAUAAAUUUAUAUUUGGUCUUUUAAAAAGUAACCUAGCUAAUUUCGAUACAAACACUAACCUCCUUUGCACUUGUAAAUUACUUGAGACUUAAGGCAUAUGCAAAUUCUUUCGGACUAGGAAUCUCAAAGUUGCAGGCUUUCAAACCGGGACCAUGCUUCUUUAAGUCCUGUUUGCUCUGGUGACAUUUUAACUGUCAGAGAUAGAUCUGCAUAUACUCUCUGAAUACUUAACCACUGUUGAACCUGUUUCACUUUAGCUUAUGACAUGAGGUUAAAUUAUAGUCACAAAAAAGAAUAACUUCAGUGUUUUUGCUGUUGAGCUUGAUUUAAUAGCAGAAAUAAAAUCUUAUAUUCAUAUAUCAACAUUGUUUCUUCGAAAAUCCAAGUAUAGAAAGCCUGCAUUGUUGAAGUGGAUAUUACUUGUAAAAUCAAUUACACGGCCAUUGGCAAUCUUUGUGUAGGGUUUGAUAUACUUGGAUGGGGUCUGAUGAUGUUCGUCUUCAUUGUGAUCUAAUAUAAAUUUAACAUUCUAGUAAGUGCCCUACAUACCUGGUGAUUUUAAGCCGGAUCUUCUAACUACAUACCUGGUGUGAUGAAAGUGCUUUAGAAAAAAAGGGACUCUGAAAGUGUCAGUUACAUGUUGAAAGCAAUAACCCUGAAUAUUCAAAUUUUUAUUUUUAUUUCUGCACAUACAAAUAGUUUUUUUGUGAUAUAUGCCUUUGUUCCCACAGGUUAUAGCAAAUUUUAGUGCAGGUUGGUGUGGCCCAUGCAGAGCGAUGGCACCGGUGUAUAUGGAGCUGUCUGAGAAGUAUCUUUCACUGAUGUUUUUGUCGAUAGAUGUCGAUGAGUUAACAGUAAGAUUUGCUUCAACCUUUAUUUGAUCCAUCGCAUUUUCUGGUCCAUUCUGCUAUAGAUUUGAAAGUGCACUUACUAUUAUGUCACUUAUCUUUUUCAUGAAUAGGUUAUUAGUUUUCUACUUGCCUGAUUUCGUUUAUCCUAGUUUUUACCUGCUACUCCUUCCUUAUCUCGAAUUAGUACAUUUGUCAUCCUUGAGUAUGCUUAAAGCUAUUGAUUGAGACAUCUCUUAUUCAAAGCGUGGGAAAUGUUUUGAUUAUUUUUCACAAGAAAAACUUAGUUGAGACGAUGGGAAAAAAGGCAAAUCAGUUUACCAUAACAUAGCAUUGUCUUAAAAAAAUAAAUGUCCGUCUUAGUUUGGGCAGGGAAUUCUGAACUUUGUCUUCUUUGCUAAGUCACGGUUUAGGUUCUGGAUAAGGCUUGGAAUAAGAUUUGAUGCUUAUAGAAAAGUUUAUAGAAUCACUAUCUAUCUGCCUUUUCCCAGCCUUUGCAUUAUGGUAUCCGUACCCGUUAGCAUGGUGUUAAAUGUUAUUUCUGCAUUACCAAAGCCAAGAACUUUCCAACUUGAGCACCGGUUGGAUAGGCACUCACCACUGGCAGAGAGAAGAUGAAACAUAUAGGCAUUAAGCUACGUAAGGAACUUGUGCAUCAACAAUUAUUUCAGCUUUAUGAAAUUCAUAAAUUUGUGGAGUUAACAGUGCAAUUUUUAUAGAGCUUAUAAUCUGACCUCAGAUGACUCACCAAUCUUCCUAAAUGUAAAGAUCAAAGGUUUGAGCUCAUCGAAACUGCAAAGGUGCUUGACUUUUAGUUUUCUAUUCAAUUUUUUUGCAAGCGGAGAAUAAAAAACAUGAACUCCAGAUAGAAAACAUUUUGUUCUUGAGAAAACUACUAAGUAGCGUAAGAAAAGCUUAGAAAGCUUAUCAGUAACUGAGAUGCAGCCAACAUCUAGUAAUCUUUGUCUCAUAUAUCGUGGUGAGCUCUUUUCUGCAUGUGAUGCAUAAUAAAGCUAUAAAAAAUAUAAUCUCAGAAAAUUCUGAUAACUGCAUCCUUAUGAUCAACUUCAGUGUUUUUGGUUUUUCCUCGGACUAAAACUUCUACUUGUGUGAUACAUUCAUUUAUUAGGAAAUUUUAUGGAUCAACAGAUAAAAAUAAUGGAAAUUGUUCACCAUAUUUUCCUGGGUAAAUAUUUAAGUUGGAUCAUGUUUUGGAAGUCAGUUGUAGAGAAUUUAUAUGGUUAUACAUGUUUCAGGAAUUUAGUUCGUCGUGGGAUAUCCAUGCGACUCCAACAUUCUUGUUCCUGAAAGAUGGGCAACUGCUGGAUAAGCUCAUAGGUGCCAACCGAUCUGACCUGGAGAAGAAGAUAAUCAUGUUUGUUGAUUCCUGCUCCAAAAAUUCAAAUCUAUAAUGCCAAGUCCCUGCACUCUAAAUCUUUUCUGUCAAAACAAUUGUCAGCUUAUCCGCCAUGAGAAAACACAUCUGUACCAUGAACUCCUUUUGUUCUAUGAAUUGCGUCAGUCGUGGUUUUCAAAAUGACCUCUCUUCCUCGCCAGUCACCAUGAAUGCCCAAAUAAUCUAAUUUUAUUCUGCUUGAUGUGAUAGGCAAUGUGACUGACAAGGUUUGCAGUAAUUGAAGACAUUAGCUGAAGUCAUUGUUUACUCGGGUUAGGCAGAGCAUACAAAGGCAUCAUCAACACACAGAAGACGGUGGAUCGAGGCCACCCUCCCCCGGCGUGAUGUGAUGGGCAAUGUAAAUGACAAGGUUUGCAGUAAUUGAAUAUAUUAUUAGCUGGAGGCUAAUACGUUUUUUUGGACUCAGGUAGGCACAGCAUACAAAGGCAUCAGACUACUACUAGUACUAGUACUGCUACUACAACACAAGCUGGACGAAUACAGAAGACGGUGCGUCGAUGCCACCCUCCACCGGCGUGAUGAACUCACCGGCCCUUUGGGUUCACGAUCUGUGAGAACACCGCACUGGGCGUCAAUCCAUCGGAGUCCUCGCUACCCACACUCCUCCCUCCGAUGCUUAUCGUGGUGGUGGUGGUGGUGCUCGGCUCGCUUGAUGGAUCAUCAGCAACCUUCUUUCCAUCCAUCACAACCGAUGAUGCCGUCUCUUCUGAGAUCCCGUCACCGAGACUGCCAUUCUCCUCCGCGCUCUCCUGCAGCUGGAGCGCAAACUCGAGGUUCCAAAGCACAUCGCCCAUCGAUGGCCGUUCCGUUCCCGCAUCCGCCACGCACUUCUUGGCAGUCUCUGCAAACUUCUUGAAGCACUGCGCCGCAAUCUUCCCCUUCAGGUAGGGAUCCAUGAUCUGGUCGAGUGUUCCCUUCUUCUGGCAGUGCACUGCCCACUCCGCCAAGCUCACCUGCUCCUUUGGCAGCGACGGGUUUAGGGCUGGCCGAGCACAGAGGACCUCGAACAACACCACCCCGAAGGAGUAGACAUCGGAUUUCUCGGUGAGCUGCUGCCGCCUGAAGUACUCUGGGUCGAGAUAUCCGAAGCUGCCCUUCACCACCGUGCUGACAUGGGUGUUGUCCAG